GAGUUUGAUCGUGGCUCAGGACGAACGCUGGCGGCGUGCCUAAUACAUGCAAGUCGAGCGGAUCUUCAUUAGCUUGCUUUUGAAGAUCAGCGGCGGACGGGUGAGUAACACGUGGGCAACCUGCCUGUAAGACUGGGAUAACUUCGGGAAACCGGAGCUAAUACCGGAUGAUCCUUUUCCUCUCAUGAGGAGAAGCUGAAAGACGGUUUCGGCUGUCACUUACAGAUGGGCCCGCGGCGCAUUAGCUAGUUGGUGAGGUAACGGCUCACCAGGGCGACGAUGCGUAGCCGACCUGAGAGGGUGAUCGGCCACACUGGGACUGGGACACGGCCCAGACUCCUACGGGAGGCAGCAGUAGGGAAUCUUCCGCAAUGGACGAAAGUCUGACGGAGCAACGCCGCGUGAGCGAUGAAGGCC
rnacentral:rRNA from 1 species